rnacentral:rRNA from 1 species
GACGAACGCUGGCGGCGUGCUUAACACAUGCAAGUCGAACGGAAAGGCCCUGCUUUUGUGGGGUGCUCGAGUGGCGAACGGGUGAGUAACACGUGAGUAACCUGCCCUUGACUUUGGGAUAACUUCAGGAAACUGGGGCUAAUACCGGAUAGAGCCCCUGCUGCAUUGGGGGGGUUGGAAAGUUUCGGCGGUUGGGGAUGGACUCGCGGCUUAUCAGCUUGUUGGUGGGGUAGUGGCUUACCAAGGCUUUGACGGGUAGCCGGCCUGAGAGGGUGACCGGCCACAUUGGGACUGAGAUACGGCCCAGACUCCUACGGGAGGCAGCAGUGGGGAAUAUUGCACAAUGGGCGGAAGCCUGAUGCAGCAACGCCGCGUGCGGGAUGACGGCCUUCGGGUUGUAAACCGCUUUCGCCUGUGACGAAGCGUGAGUGACGGUAAUGGGUAAAGAAGCACCGGCUAACUACGUG